AACCAACUUCUCUCUGGUGCCAUGUUGGCAUUCCCAAAGAAGAUUCAUGAUUGGAUUAUGUUCCUGGGCAACAUAAAUCAAACCUGAUGGCAGGGAUAUGUUGAUAGCUUGAAAUCACCUCAGCCCAGAGAAGAGUACUAAAGGGGAAGGAGCUAAUCCACCAGCGUCACCUUUGACUUUGUGCAUCCUAUGGUUGCUAAGCAAAU
rnacentral:lncRNA from 1 species